GAUGAAGAACGUAGCGAAAUGCGAUAAGUAAUGUGAAUUGCAGAAUUCAGUGAAUCAUCGAAUCUUCGAACGCACAUUGCGCCCGCCAGUAUUCUGGCGGGCAUGCCUGUUCGAGCGUCAUUUCAACCAUCAAGCCCCCGGCUUGUGUUGGGGACCUGCGGCUGCCGCAGGCCCUGAAAAGCAGUGGCGGGCUCGCUGUCACACCGAGCGUAGUAGCAUACAUCUCGCUCUGGGCGUGCUGCGGGUUCCGGCCGUUAAACCACCUUCAUAACCCAAGGUUGACCUCGGAUCAGGUAGGAAGACCCGCUGAACUUAAGCAUAUCAAUAAGCGGAGGA
rnacentral:misc_RNA from 1 species